GAUGAACGCUGGCGGCGUGCCUAAUACAUGCAAGUCGAGCGAACGGACGAGAAGCUUGCUUUUCUGAUGUUAGCGGCGGACGGGGGAGUAACACGUGGAUAACCUAGCUUUAAGACUGGGAUAACUUCGGGUAACAGGAGCUAAUACCGGAUAAUACUUUGUACUGCAUGGUUCAAAAGUGAAAGACGGUCCUGCUGUCACUUAUAGAUGGAUCCGCGCUGCAUUAGCUAGUUGGUAGGGUAACGGCUUACCAAGGCAACGAUGCAUACCCGACCUGGGCGGGUGUCCGGCCACACUGGAACUGGGAACCGGUCCGGACCCCACGGGGAGGCAGCGUUAGGGAUUCUUCGGCAUUGGGCGAAGUCCUGACGGGGCAACGCGGCUUGGUGGAGGAGGUUCUUCGAAUCUUAAACCUCGUUUAUUAGGGAGGACAAUAUGGGUAAGUAACUGUGCACAUCUUGACGGUACCUAACCAGAAAGCCACGGCUAACUACGUG
rnacentral:rRNA from 1 species